rnacentral:siRNA from 1 species
UGAAGAUCCCAAGUACUCUAC